rfam:Schistosoma haematobium scaffold996_7, whole genome shotgun sequence.
AGAUUUCUGAAUCCAUGACAAUAUUUCGUCAUAAACCAGACCAUCAGUACUGGUGGGACUCCCAAGAUAAGUGAAGCG